GGCGCAGCGUGACGCCUAGCGGUUUGAUGAACAGGCUAUUGUCAUUCAUCGUGACCUCGCCGCUCGCCCGUACCUGCUUACCGUUCAGCGGGAUAGACAAAUGCAGCGUGCUGGCCACGUUACCGCCGAUCUGCAAUUGUUGCAGCGUCGUUCCCAGCGUGGAUUUCAGCGGCGUCUGCAUGAAGUAAUCACUCACAUCUUUGCCACUGCCGUUCAGGUCGCCAUUUAUCAGCAGCAGCUCCUGCUGAAAGUUGGGGAUCGCGGCAUCGAUGUUCCGGCCUUUAACAUUGCCGAGCCGCGCCUGCGGCGCAUUCAUCCACAGCCCGUUAUUCAGGAAAUUGAGCGUGAUAUUUUCACUGUCCAAUGCGGGCCAGCCGGGCUGAAAGCCGAACUUGGCGUUUUUCAGCGGCACC
rnacentral:ncRNA from 1 species